rnacentral:rRNA from 1 species
AACGAACGCUGGCGGCAGGCUUAACACAUGCAAGUCGAGCGAGACCUUCGGGUCUAGCGGCGGACGGGUGAGUAACGCGUGGGAACGUGCCCUUCUCUACGGAAUAGCCCCGGGAAACUGGGAGUAAUACCGUAUACGCCCUUUGGGGGAAAGAUUUAUCGGAGAAGGAUCGGCCCGCGUUGGAUUAGGUAGUUGGUGGGGUAAUGGCCCACCAAGACGACGAUCCAUAGCUGGUUUGAGAGGAUGAUCAGCCACACUGGGACUGAGACACGGCCCAGACUCCUACGGGAGGCAGCAGUGGGGAAUCUUAGACAAUGGGGGCAACCCUGAUCUAGCCAUGCCGCGUGAGUGAUGAAGGCCUUAGGGUUGUAAAGCUCUUUCAGCUGGGAAGAUAAUGACGGUACCAGCAGAAGAAGCCCCGGCUAACUCCGUG